UAGGGAAUCUUCGGCAAUGGACGGAAGUCUGACCGAGCAACGCCGCGUGAGUGAAGAAGGUUUUCGGAUCGUAAAGCUCUGUUGUAAGAGAAGAACGAGUGUGAGAGUGGAAAGUUCACACUGUGACGGUAUCUUACCAGAAAGGGACGGCUAACUACGUGCCAUCAGCCGCGGUAAUACGUAGGUCCCGAGCGUUGUCCGGAUUUAUUGGGCGUAAAGCGAGCGCAGGCGGUUAGAUAAGUCUGAAGUUAAAGGCUGUGGCUUAACCAUAGUAGGCUUUGGAAACUGUUUAACUUGAGUGCAAGAGGGGAGAGUGGAAUUCCAUGUGUAGCGGUGAAAUGCGUAGAUAUAUGGAGGAACACCGGUGGCGAAAGCGGCUCUCUGGCUUGUAACUGACGCUGAGGCUCGAAAGCGUGGGGAGCAAACAGGAUUAGAUACCCUGGUAGUCCACGCUGUAAACGAUGAGUGCUAGGUGUUAGACCCUUUCCGGGGUUUAGUGCCGUAGCUAACGCAUUAAGCACUCCGCCUGGGGAGUACGACCGCAAGGUUG
rnacentral:rRNA from 1 species